AAUAUUGGUCAAUGGGCGAGAGCCUGAACCAGCCAAGUCGCGUGAAGGAUGACGGGCUUAUGGAUUGUAAAAUUCUUUUGUCGGGGAAUAAAAUGAGCCACGGUUGGUUUUUUGCAUGUACCCGUGCAAUAAGCAAUGGCUGACUCCGUGCCAACCGCCGCGGUAAAACGGAGGAUGCGAGCGUUAACCUGAUUUAUUGGGUUUAAAGGGUGCGUAGGCCAAAAUAUAAGUCAGCGGUGAAACGACGGAGCUCAACUCCGGCCCUGCCGUUGAAACUGUAUUUCUUGAGUAAAUUCGAGGUAAGCGGAAUUCGUAGUGUAGCGGUGAAAUGCAUAGAUAUUACGAGGAACUCCGAUAGCGCAGGCAGCUUACCAGACUUUAACUGACGCUGAGGCACGAAAGUGUGGGUAUCAAACAGG
rnacentral:rRNA from 1 species